rnacentral:rRNA from 1 species
UGGGGAAUAUUGGACACUGGGCGAAAGCCUGAUCCAGCCAUGCCGCGUGUGUGAAGAAGGUCUUCGGAUUGUAAAGCACUUUAAGUUGGGAGGAAGGGCAGUAAGCGAAUACCUUGCUGUUUUGACGUUACCGACAGAAUAAGCACCGGCUAACUCUGUGCCAGCAGCCGCGGUAAUACAGAGGGUGCAAGCGUUAAUCGGAAUUACUGGGCGUAAAGCGCGCGUAGGUGGUUCGUUAAGUUGAAUGUGAAAGCCCCGGGCUCAACCUGGGAACUGCAUCCAAAACUGGCGAGCUAGAGUAGGGCAGAGGGUGGUGGAAUUUCCUGUGUAGCGGUGAAAUGCGUAGAUAUAGGAAGGAACACCAGUGGCGAAGGCGACCACCUGGGCUCAUACUGACACUGAGGUGCGAAAGCGGGGGGAGCAAACAGG